rnacentral:tRNA from 1 species
AAGGGUAGAGCUCAGUGGUAGAGUGAGCGCUUAGUAUGCACAAGGUCCUGGGUUCAAUCCCCAGUACCUCCA